GAAUGCUGACAUAAGUAACGAUAAAGCGGGUGAAAAGCCCGCUCGCCGGAAGACCAAGGGUUCCUGUCCAACGUUAAUCGGGGCAGGGUGAGUCGACCCCUAAGGCGAGGCCGAAAGGCGUAGUCGAUGGGAAACGGGUUAAUAUUCCCGUACUUGGUGUUACUGCGAAGGGGGGACGGAGAAGGCUAUGUUGGCCGGGCGACGGUUGUCCCGGUUUAAGCGUGUAGGUGUGUGUUCCAGGUAAAUCCGGUUCACUUUAACACUGAGGCGUGACGACGAGGCACUACGGUGCUGAAGCAACAAAUGCCCUGCUUCCAGGAAAAGCCUCUAAGCAUCAGGUAACAUCAAAUCGUACCCCAAACCGACACAGGUGGUCAGGUAGAGAAUACCAAGGCGCUUGAGAGAACUCGGGUGAAGGAACUAGGCAAAAUGGUGCCGUAACUUCGGGAGAAGGCACGCUGACACGUAGGUGAAGUGAUUUACUCAUGGAGCUGAAGUCAGUCGAAGAUACCAGCUGGCUGCAACUGUUUAUUAAAAACACAGCACUGUGCAAACACGAAAGUGGACGUAUACGGUGUGACGCCUGCCCGGUGCCGGAAGGUUAAUUGAUGGGGUCAGCGCAAGCGAAGCUCCUGAUCGAAGCCCCGGUAAACGGCGGCCGUAACUAUAACGGUCCUAAGGUAGCGAAAUUCCUUGUCGGGUAAGUUCCGACCUGCACGAAUGGCGUAAUGAUGGCCAGGCUGUCUCCACCCGAGACUCAGUGAAAUUGAACUCGCUGUGAAGAUGCAGUGUACCCGCGGCAAGACGGAAAGACCCCGUGAACCUUUACUAUAGCUUGACACUGAACAUUGAGCCUUGAUGUGUAGGAUAGGUGGGAGGCUUUGAAGUGUGGACGCCAGUCUGCAUGGAGCCGACCUUGAAAUACCACCCUUUAAUGUUUGAUGUUCUAACGUGGACCCGUUACCCGGGUUGCGGACAGUGUCUGGUGGGUAGUUUGACUGGGGCGGUCUCCUCCUAAAGAGUAACGGAGGAGCACGAAGGUUGGCUAAUCCUGGUCGGACAUCAGGAGGUUAGUGCAAUGGCAUAAGCCAGCUUGACUGCGAGCGUGACGGCGCGAGCAGGUGCGAAAGCAGGUCAUAGUGAUCCGGUGGUUCUGAAUGGAAGGGCCAUCGCUCAACGGAUAAAAGGUACUCCGGGGAUAACAGGCUGAUACCGCCCAAGAGUUCAUAUCGACGGCGGUGUUUGGCACCUCGAUGUCGGCUCAUCACAUCCUGGGGCUGAAGUAGGUCCCAAGGGUAUGGCUGUUCGCCAUUUAAAGUGGUACGCGAGCUGGGUUUAGAACGUCGUGAGACAGUUCGGUCCCUAUCUGCCGUGGGCGCUGGA
rnacentral:rRNA from 1 species